rnacentral:lncRNA from 1 species
GGGGCUGAAGAGCUUUUGGAUAUUACUUACAAACUUGGAAGAGGUUUGGUUACAGGAUUGAGGAAGAAAAUUGCUAUAAGGAUUUUGUUGGGUAUAAAAUAAUCCCAGCCGAAGUUCGUAAGAGGCCAACUCUCCUAGGACUUUUUUGGCUUUCGACCUUGUGCGGUGUCUUUCUAAACUUUCCCGACCGUCCGAGCUUUCACAGUACCAUCCGGACUCCUCCAGCAGUCGACCUUCCACAGUGUCCUCCAGAUUCCUCCAACGGACGAACUCCUAUCGUGCCAUCCGGACUUCUCCAAUAAUGAGCUCCUCCAUUCAUCUACCGGACUGCUCCAAAUGCUCUCUGGGCUUCACUAUCAGCCGAUGUUCUACAGUGAUCGACUACUCUUCGAAUCUCUUCCAGACUUCUUCCUGCC